ACACACCUUCACAACACGUCUCGAACAUCUUACACUUCGUCGGAGAACACGAAACGACUCGCCGGAAGAACUUGAAGCUCGCCGGAGCAAGAGGGAUCGCCAGAAAAUACAUAACCGUGUCGGAGAAGACGACCGGAGUCACGACGGAACUUGCGAAUCAUUGCGUUUCGGAUAAUCGUAUCCCGUUCGAUCUCUUGGAUUUCUCCAUCUUUACUCGUGCGUCAUCACAAGAAAAUGCAACGCAACUAAGGUUGAUAGACGAAGUGAUCAAGAAAACAAGCUAGGAUGAACCUAUAAACCCAUCUAGAAUAAACAAUGUUUUGA